GUGAAUCAUCGAAUUUUUGAACGCAAAUUGCGCUUCCUGGUAUCCCGGGAAGUAUGCCUGUUUGAGGGUCAGUAUUAACAAAAAAUCGGUUUGGUUGCAAAUUGUGACGUUUCCGGAGUUUGGGCUUAUCUUAACUUUUUUGGUUAAGGGGCUAAAAAUUGACUUUUUUUGCGCAUUUUAAACGGACAUAAAUUUUUUUUUUUUUUGUCUUCUUUAUAC
rnacentral:misc_RNA from 1 species